GACGAACGCUGGCGGCGUGCCUAAUGCAUGCAAGUCGCACGCGGCACCUUCGGGUGCUGCGUGGCGAACGGCUGAGGAACACGUGGGGACCUGUCCGGGAGUGGGGGACAACACCGCGAAAGCGGUGCUAAUCCCGCAUACGCUCUGAGGAGGAAAGCCGAAAGGCGCUCCCGGGUGGCCCUGCGGCCCAUCAGGUUGUUGGUGGGGUAACGGCCUACCAAGCCAAUGACGGGUCGCUGGUCUGUGAGGACGACCAGCCAGACUGGGACUGGGACACGGCCCAGACUCCUACGGGAGGCAGCAGCAAGGAAUUUUCGGCAAUGGGCGCAAGCCUGACCGAGCAACGCCGCGUGCAGGAAGACGGCCUUCGGGUUGUAAACUGCUUUUGCUAGGGAGGAUAACAGACAGUACCUGGCGAAUCAGCCCCGGCUAACUCUGUG
rnacentral:rRNA from 1 species